AGUGGCGGACGGGUGAGUAACACGUUGGAACCUGCCCCGAAGAGGGGGAUAACUACCCGAAAGGGUGGCUAAUACCCCAUAUACUCCGAUUUAUUCGGAGGAAAGCUUUUGCGCUUCGGGAGGGGCCUGCGUAACAUUAGCUUGUUGGUGAGGUAAAAGCUCACCAAGGCUACGAUGUUUAGCUGGUUUGAGAGGAUGAUCAGCCACACUGGGACUGAGAUACGGCCCAGACUCCUACGGGAGGCAGCAGUGAGGAAUAUUCCACAAUGGGGGAAACCCUGAUGGAGCGAUGCCGCGUGCAGGAAGACGCUUUUCGGAGUGUAAACUGCUUUUAAUAGGGAAGAUUAUGACGGUACCUAUAGAAUAAGGACCGGCUAACUACGUGCCAGCAGCCGCGGUAAUACGUAGGGUCCAAGCGUUAUUCGGAAUUACUGGGCGUAAAGCGUACGUAGGCGGCUUGAUAAGUUGGAUGUGAAAUCCUGUGGCUCAACCAUAUGGACCGUGUCCAAAACUAUCAGGCUAGAGCAUAGUAGAGGCAAGUGGAAUUUGCGGUGUAGGAGUGACAUCCGUAGAUAUCGCAAGGAACACCAAUGGCGAAGCAGCUUGCUGGGCUAUUGCUGACGCUCAGGUACGAAAGCGUGGGGAGCGAACGGGAUUAGAUACCCCGGUAGUCCACGCCGUAAACGAUGAUCACUAGCAGUAUGGAGAUUCGACCCUCUGUGUUGCACAGCUAACGCGUUAAGUGAUCCGCCUGGGGAGUACGGGCGCAAGCUUAAAACUCAAAUGAAUUGACGGGGACCCGCACAAGCGGUGGAGCAUGUGGUUUAAUUCGAAGAUACGCGCAGAACCUUACCAACCCUUGACAUGUCUGUCGCGAGUUUAGGAAACUAGACUUUUCGGUUCGGCCGGACAGAACACAGGUGCUGCAUGGCUGUCGUCAGCUCGUGUCGUGAGAUGUUGGGUUAAGUCCCGCAACGAGCGCAACCCCUACUUUUAGUUGCCAUCAGGUCAUGCUGGGCACUCUGAAAGAACUGCCAGUGAUAAGCUGGAGGAAGGUGGGGAUGACGUCAAGUCCUCAUGGCCCUUACGGGUUGGGCUACACACGUGCUACAAUGGUAGUGACAAUGAGAUGCAAGGUGGCGACGCUAAGCUAAACUCAAAAAUCUACCUCAGUUCGGAUUGCACUCUGCAACUCGAGUGCAUGAAGCUGGAAUCGCUAGUAAUCGUAGAUCAGCGUGCUACGGUGAAUACGUUCCCGGGUCUUGUACACACCGCCCGUCACACCAUGGAAGUUGGUUCUACCUUAAAGCAGAUUGCUAACCGCAAGGAGGCGUUUGACCAAGGUAUAGUCAGCGACUGGGGUGAAGUCGUAACAAGGUAACCGUA
rnacentral:rRNA from 1 species